CUGUCAUAUCACGUUGAAACACUGGUUCCAGUACGAUCAUCAAAGUUAAGCAAUGUCGAGCGUGGUCAGCACCUAGAUGGGUGACCACUUGGGAAUACCAGGUGCUGUAAG